CUGGUUUAUGGUUGAUAUUUUCUCAGGUCUCCGUGACGCAAUCCACCACAGAUAUAAAAGCGCACCUGCUGACGAUGCCCUACCAAAGGAGAGGGACGAGAAUUUAAUAGGACCACACAGCCGACAGGUCUCCUCCACGCUGAGCAUAAAGCUGAAAACGAACCAUCCCCCUUCAAUUAUGAUAUCAAACAUCACUAUUUACUGCAUCUCGUCAUUGCUGUUUUUAAACCUGGUUGGGGGCAAACCAGUGUCCAGCUUGCAGAGUCUCAAGGAGCUCCUGGAAGAAGAGAGCAAUGCGCCCUAUCUCGACUCGGAAGAGGCUGAAGUACAAGGGAAAGAAA